UACGUAGGGACCAAGCGUUGUCCGGAAUCAUUGGGCGUAAAGAGCGUGUAGGCGGCUUGUUAAGUCUUGCGUGAAAUCUCGGGGCUCAACCCCGAGCGGUCGUGAGAAACUGGCAGGCUAAAGUGCGGGAGAGGAGAGUGGAAUUCCUGGUGUAGCGGUGAAAUGCGCAGAUAUCAGGAAGAACACCCGUGGCGAAGGCGGCUCUCUGGAACGCAACUGACGCUGAGACGCGAAAGCGUGGGGAGCAAACAGG
rnacentral:rRNA from 1 species